rnacentral:rRNA from 1 species
CAUAGGUUAAUGAGGCGAACCGGGGGAACUGAAACAUCUAAGUACCCCGAGGAAAAGAAAUCAACCGAGAUUCCCCCAGUAGCGGCGAGCGAACGGGGAGGAGCCCAGAGCCUGAAUCAGUGUGUGUGUUAGUGGAAGCGUCUGGAAAGGCGCGCGAUACAGGGUGACAGCCCCGUACACAAAAAUGCACAUGCUGUGAGCUCGAUGAGUAGGGCGGGACACGUGGUAUCCUGUCUGAAUAUGGGGGGACCAUCCUCCAAGGCUAAAUACUCCUGACUGACCGAUAGUGAACCAGUACCGUGAGGGAAAGGCGAAAAGAACCCCGGCGAGGGGAGUGAAAAAGAACCUGAAACCGUGUACGUACAAGCAGUGGGAGCCUCUUAAUGGGGUGACUGCGUACCUUUUGUAUAAUGGGUCAGCGACUUAUAUUCUGUAGCAAGGUUAACCGAAUAGGGGAGCCGAAGGGAAACCGAGUCUUAACUGGGCGUUAAGUUGCAGGGUAUAGACCCGAAACCCGGUGAUCUAGCCAUGGGCAGGUUGAAGGUUGGGUAACACUAACUGGAGGACCGAACCGACUAAUGUUGAAAAAUUAGCGGAUGACUUGUGGCUGGGGGUGAAAGGCCAAUCAAACCGGGAGAUAGCUGGUUCUCCCCGAAAGCUAUUUAGGUAGCGCCUCGUGAAUUCAUCUCCGGGGGUAGAGCACUGUUUCGGCAAGGGGGUCAUCCCGACUUACCAACCCGAUGCAAACUGCGAAUACCGGAGAAUGUUAUCACGGGAGACACACGGCGGGUGCUAACGUCCGUCGUGAAGAGGGAAACAACCCAGACCGCCAGCUAAGGUCCCAAAGUCAUGGUUAAGUGGGAAACGAUGUGGGAAGGCCCAGACAGCCAGGAUGUUGGCUUAGAAGCAGCCAUCAUUUAAAGAAAGCGUAAUAGCUCACUGGUCGAGUCGGCCUGCGCGGAAGAUGUAACGGGGCUAAACCAUGCACCGAAGCUGCGGCAGCGACACUAUGUGUUGUUGGGUAGGGGAGCGUUCUGUAAGCCUGUGAAGGUGGCCUGUGAGGGUUGCUGGAGGUAUCAGAAGUGCGAAUGCUGACAUAAGUAACGAUAAAGCGGGUGAAAAGCCCGCUCGCCGGAAGACCAAGGGUUCCUGUCCAACGUUAAUCGGGGCAGGGUGAGUCGACCCCUAAGGCGAGGCCGAAAGGCGUAGUCGAUGGGAAACAGGUUAAUAUUCCUGUACUUGGUGUUACUGCGAAGGGGGGACGGAGAAGGCUAUGUUGGCCGGGCGACGGUUGUCCCGGUUUAAGCGUGUAGGCUGGUUUUCCAGGCAAAUCCGGAAAACCAAGGCUGAGGCGUGAUGACGAGGCACUACGGUGCUGAAGUGACAAAUGCCCUGCUUCCAGGAAAAGCCUCUAAGCAUCAGGUAACAUCAAAUCGUACCCCAAACCGACACAGGUGGUCAGGUAGAGAAUACCAAGGCGCUUGAGAGAACUCGGGUGAAGGAACUAGGCAAAAUGGUGCCGUAACUUCGGGAGAAGGCACGCUGAUAUGUAGGUGAAGCGACUUGCUCGUGGAGCUGAAAUCAGUCGAAGAUACCAGCUGGCUGCAACUGUUUAUUAAAAACACAGCACUGUGCAAACACGAAAGUGGACGUAUACGGUGUGACGCCUGCCCGGUGCCGGAAGGUUAAUUGAUGGGGUUAGCGGUAACGCGAAGCUCUUGAUCGAAGCCCCGGUAAACGGCGGCCGUAACUAUAACGGUCCUAAGGUAGCGAAAUUCCUUGUCGGGUAAGUUCCGACCUGCACGAAUGGCGUAAUGAUGGCCAGGCUGUCUCCACCCGAGACUCAGUGAAAUUGAACUCGCUGUGAAGAUGCAGUGUACCCGCGGCAAGACGGAAAGACCCCGUGAACCUUUACUAUAGCUUGACACUGAACAUUGAGCCUUGAUGUGUAGGAUAGGUGGGAGGCUUUGAAGUGUGGACGCCAGUCUGCAUGGAGCCGACCUUGAAAUACCACCCUUUAAUGUUUGAUGUUCUAACGUUGGCCCCUAAUCGGGGUUGCGGACAGUGUCUGGUGGGUAGUUUGACUGGGGCGGUCUCCUCCUAAAGAGUAACGGAGGAGCACGAAGGUUGGCUAAUCCUGGUCGGACAUCAGGAGGUUAGUGCAAUGGCAUAAGCCAGCUUGACUGCGAGCGUGACGGCGCGAGCAGGUGCGAAAGCAGGUCAUAGUGAUCCGGUGGUUCUGAAUGGAAGGGCCAUCGCUCAACGGAUAAAAGGUACUCCGGGGAUAACAGGCUGAUACCGCCCAAGAGUUCAUAUCGACGGCGGUGUUUGGCACCUCGAUGUCGGCUCAUCACAUCCUGGGGCUGAAGUAGGUCCCAAGGGUAUGGCUGUUCGCCAUUUAAAGUGGUACGCGAGCUGGGUUUAGAACGUCGUGAGACAGUUCGGUCCCUAUCUGCCGUGGGCGCUGGAGAACUGAGGGGGGCUGCUCCUAGUACGAGAGGACCGGAGUGGACG